UAUACCAUUACUUACUCUAUUAAAAAAAUUACCUUUAUUUUUUUUCCUUUCUUUUUCCUUCCCUCCCUCUUCUUCUUCUCCUUCUCUUUUUCUUUUUCCUUUUUCUUCCUUCUGCGCCUCCUUCCCCUUCUUCUUCUUCUCUUCUCUUCUCUUUUUCUCUUUUCUUCUUCUCUCAUUCUUCUUUCCUGCAGCUUCAUUUUGCCACUUUGGGGACCAUUAUAAUGGUCCCAAAGACAAAGAAAGACAAAAUACGAGCUAAGGUGCCGCCUGUGGCAGACCCUCGACUAGGAUCCUGUCACUUCCGUCAAUUUUUUUUUACUGUUUGUACCAUUUUGGUACAUAAUAAAAUGGUUGUACUGUUUUAGUAUUAUUUUAAUUUUUUUGUAUUAUUUGUGUAAAAAACCAUUGGGCUGCUAAGGUGCCCAAAAAAAAAA
rnacentral:lncRNA from 1 species